UCGAGUUAGGGUCUUCUAGGCCCGACCUCCCAACCCUUUGUUUACUGAACCACUGUUGCUUCGGCGGGCCCGUCUCGCGACCGCCGGAGGAGCGUUGAAAGGCGCGUCCUCUGGCCCGCGUCCGCCGAUGGCCAACCACAAAAACUCUGUGUAAAUCGUGUCUUUAUGUCUAAGUCAAUGAUUGAAUUAAAAGCA
rnacentral:misc_RNA from 1 species